rnacentral:rRNA from 1 species
CACGUAGGAGGCGAGCGUUGUCCGGAAUCAUUGGGCGUAAAGAGCGCGCAGGCGGCUUGGCAAGUCGGGUGUGAAAUCCCGGGGCUCAACCCCGGGACUGCAUUCGAUACUGUCAGGCUAGAGGUAGGUAGGGGAGAUCGGAAUUCCUGGUGUAGCGGUGAAAUGCGCAGAUAUCAGGAGGAACACCGGUGGCGAAGGCGAGGCUCUGGCUGAUUUCUGACGCUGAGACGCGAAAGCUAGGGGAGCAAACGGG